CAAGCCAAACUUUAGAUCAAGCAUCCAUCUCGUAAUAAAAUAUUGGAUCAUCCAAUCAUGCUAUUCAAAUUCUGAAUUUCAUUUCAUGUGAAAAAAUUCAUAUUGCAAGUCACAUUUUAGAUCAAGAAUCCAUUUAAUGACUAAAUUUAGAGUCAUCUCAAUUUAAUAUAAACAAAAAAUUCAUAUUGCAAGCCACAUUUUAGAUCAAGCAUCCGUCUCGUAAUAAAAUUCCGGGUCAUCCAAUCAUGCUAUUCAAAUUCUGAAUUUUAUUUCAUGUCAAAAAAUUCAUAUUGCAAGCGACAUUUUGGAUGAAGAAUCCAUUUCAUGACUUAAUUUAGGGUCAUCUCAAUUUCAUAUGAAUAAAAAUUCAUAUUGCAUAUUGCAAGCCAAACUUUCAAUCAAGCAUCCAUCUCGUAAUAAAAAUUUCGGGUCAUCUAAUCAUACUAUUCAAAUUAUGAAUUUCAUUUCAUAUGAAUAAAAAAUUCAUUCUCUCAUAUUAUAAAAAUUUCAGGUCAUCCAAGUCACAUUUUGGAUCAACAAUCCAUCUCAUGACGAAAUUUAGGGUCAUCUCAAUUUCAUAUGAAUAAAAAAUUCAUAUUGCAAGCCACAUUUUAGAUUAAGCAUCCAUCUCGUAAUAAAAUUUUGGGUCAUCCGAUCAUGCCAUUCAAAUUCUGAAUUUCAUUUCAUGCGAAAAAAUACAUAUUGCAAGUCACAUUUUGGAUCAAGAAUCCAUUUCAUGACUAAAUUUAGGGUCAUCUCAAUUUCACAUGAACCAAAAAUUCAUAAUCUAAGCCACAUUUUAGAUCAAGCAUCCGUCUCCUAAUAAAAUUUCGGGUCAUCCAAUCAUGCUAUUCAAAUUCUGAAUUUAAUUUCAUGUGAAAAAAUUCAUAUUGCAAUCCACAUUUUGGAUGAAGAAUCCAUUUCAUGACUAAAUUUAGGGUCAUCUCAAUUUCAUAUGAAUAAAAAAUUCAUAUUGCAUAUUGCAAGCCAUUUUAGAUCAAACAUCCAUCUCGUAAUAAAAUGUCGGGUCAUUCAAUCAUACUAUUCAAAUUAUGAAUUUCAUUUCAUGUGAAUAAAAAAUUCAUUCUCACAUAUUAUAAAAAUUUCAGGUCAUCCAAGCCACAUUUUGGAUCAACAAUCCAUUUCAUGACUAAAUUUAGGGUCAUCUCAAUUUCAUAUGAAUAAAAAAUUCAUAUUGCAAGCCACAUUUUGGAUGAAGAAUCCAUUUCAUGACUAAAUUUAGGGUCAUCUCAAUUUCAUAUGAAUAAAAAAUUCAUAUUGCAAGCCACAUUUUGGAUGAAGAAUCCAUUUCAUGACUAAAUUUAGGGUCAUCUCAAUUUCAUAUGAAUAAAAAAUUCAUAUUGCAAGCCACAUUUUAGAUCAAGCAUCCUUCUCGUAAUUAAAUUUCGGGUCAUCCAAUCAUGCUAUUCAAAUUUUGAAUUUCAUUUCAUGUGAAAAAAUUCAUAUUGCAAGCCACAUUUUGGAUGAAGAAUCCAUUUCAUGACUAAAUUUAGGGUCAUCUCAAUUUCAUAUGAAUAAAAAAUUCAUAUUGCAUAUUGCAAGCCACAUUUUAGAUCAAGCAUCCAUCUCGUAAUAAAAUUAUGGGUCAUCCAAUCAUACUAUUCAAAUUUUGAAUUUCAUUUCAUGUGAAUAAAAAAUUCAUUUUCACAUAUUAUACCAAUUUCAUAUGAAUUUUGCAACACAUUUUGGAUCAAGAAUCAAUUUCGUUAUUAAAUGUAGGGUCAUCUAAAAAUACUAUCUCAAUUUCAUAGGAAUAAAAAUUCAUAUUGCAAGCCAUAUGUUGAGUCAAUAAUUCAUCUCUUUCGAUUAAAUUUAGAGGGUCAUUCAAACACCCUAUACCAAUUUCAUAUGAAUAAAAAAUUCAUGUUGCAUUCUAUAUUUUGGGCCAAUACUCCAAUUUGGUGAUUAAGUUCUGUGUCAACCAAUCAUACUAUCUCAAUUUCAUAUAAAUAAAAACUUCAUAUUGCAAGACACAAUUUGAAUCAAGAAUUCAUUUCAUGAUUAAAUUUAGGGUCAUCUAAAAAUAUCAUCUCAAUUUCAUAUGAAUAAAAUAUUCACAUUGCAAGCCACAUUUUGAAUCAAACAUCCAUCUCGUAAUAAAAUUUCAGGUCAUCCAAUCAUGUUAUCCCAAUUUUGAAUUUCAUUUCAUGUGAAAAUAUUCAUAUUGCAAGUCACAUUUUGAAUUCAGAAUCCAUUUCACGACUAAAUUUAGGGUUAUCUCAAUUUCAUAUGAAUAAAAAAUUCAUAUUGUAAGCCACAUUUUAGAUCAACCAUCCAUCUCGUAACAAAAUUUCGAGUCAUCCAAUCAUGUUAUUCAAAUUCUGAAUUUCAUUUUAUAUAAAUAAAAAAUUCAUAUUGCAAGCCACAUUUUUUGGUCAAGCAUUCAUUUCGAAAUAAAAUUUCGGGUAAUCCAAUCAUACUAUCUCAAAUUCUGAAAUUAAUUUCAUAUGAAUAAAAAAAUCAUAGUGAAUAUCAUAUUUAAGGUAAAAAAAUCCACAUCAUAAUUAAAUUUAAGUCAUCCAACCAUAGGAAGAAACUUGUCUUUGUGGAUACAUAUCGGGACUUUUCAAUUUUUAUCAACCUUCGCAAGCAAGAAUAAUCAAGAAUCAUCAAGAUUAUAUAUUCUUGAAUAAUCAAGAAUAAUGCGUUGAACUUUGUCAGAAUUAAAAUAAUAACACGUUGAAUAAUCAAGAAUCGUGAAGAUUAUACAUGGUGCAAACAAAAACCUACCCCAAAACACGUGCACCAAAUACAAGGUUUUGGAGAGAGAAUGUUUGCGCAACAGAAAAAGAGAAUCAAUAUAUCAGAAAUCCAAAGGAGAAUACAUUAAAAAUGGAAAGAGAGGGAGGAAUCAAAAAUCAAGAUCAAACACGAAGAUAACAUAGGUCAAAUCGAUUAAUAUAGUAAAUUGAAAUUUGAGAGGUAGAAAUCGAAUAAUUGAAGCGACUAGGGUUAAGAGGACACACCUCUGUUAGUCUUUUCCCGGUUCCGUCAGAAUUGAAAUUUGAAGUGAUGAAGCAACCAAAAACUUGAAGCCCCAUCAUCUGUCUACUUCGCACUGCUCCGUCUUAUUUAUAAGGUUAAAGCCGUUUUUUUAUAAAAG
rnacentral:lncRNA from 1 species